rnacentral:rRNA from 1 species
GCUAGUUGGGGGGGGUAAGGAGCCUACCAAGGGGGACGAUCUAUAGCUGUUUGAGAGGAAAGAUCAGCCACACUGGGACUGAGACGCGGCCCAGACUCCCUACGGGAGGCAGCAGUGGGAAUAUUGGACAAUGGGCGGAAGCCUGAUCCAGCAAUACCGCGUGUGUGAAGAAGGCCUUAAGGGUUGUAAAGCACUUUCAAUGGGGAGGAAAAAACAAGCGUUAAUACCGUUUUUCUUGACAUUACCUAUAGAAGAAGCACCGGCUAACUCCGUGCCGGCAGCCGCGGUAAUACGGAGGGUGCAAGCGUUAAUCGGAAUUACUGGGCGUAAAGAGUGCGUAGGCGGCACGUUAAGUCAGAUGUGAAAGCCCUGGGCUCAACCUGGGAACUGCAUUUGAAACUGGCGAGCUCGAGUUGAGUAGAGGUAGGUGGAAUUUCAGGUGUAGCGGUGAAAUGCGUAGAUAUCUGAAGGAACACCAGUGGCGAAGGCGACUUACUGGACUCAAACUGACGCUGAGGUACGAAAGCGUGGGUAGCAAACAGGAUUAGAUACCCUGGUAGUCCACGCCGUAAACGAUGUCAACUAGCCGUUGG